CAAUGUGUUCCUUCUGAACCUGUGCUUUGUCAAUAUGUACCUCCUGAACCUGUGCUUUAAAUAUGGUCCUUGUGACCUGUGAAUAGUUGAUGUGUGCCUAGCAUGCUCAAUGAUAUGCCUAGUUCUCCCUAUUGUCUGGCACAUUGAGUUGAUUCUAUGUUUGUGUAUUGUGUGUGUGUGUGUGUAUAUACAUUUUUUGGGGUGGAUACAAAAGAAUCCCCAUGUAAAUAAAUACGAUAUUUUUAUAUGAAAGCCACCAUCUCCUGCACCCUUCUUCCCAACUACACCACCCAGUCCAGUCGCCACCUCCCAAAACAACGUGGGGUGACCGCCCGGUCCCUCACAGUGCUAUGACAAGACUACAGCAAACUAACUCGGAUUUCAACUUCACUGUGAGACAGGAUCCUGACUUUGGUUAUUUCCUUGAGAGUGUGAAUGGUGUGGCUGGAAAUUUGACUGCUCACACCUACUGGCAGAUUAUGUCAAACAGAAAUGGAGCCCUGACCCCUACACCUGUAGGAGUUGGCUGUUACAUUCCAAAGGCAAAUGAACACAUCAUCUUUAGAGUUCAGCAGCUGGUGAACACAAAUAGGGGAACACAGCAUCAAUGCAAUCACUAUGGCUUCAUACGUUUCUUGUGCAUCAUCUAUCUCUACGGCCCCUCUGUCUACCUCCACAAUGUAAUAGUUUCUCCUAAUAUGACUGAUUAGCUGUCUUCAAUCCUAAACAAAUCUGUAACUAGAUUUCUUAUACCCAUUCCCAGACAGUCGUAUCUACAGACAUUCAUAUGAUGAUUUGAUAUUACCACAUCAAAAAAAUAAUAUAUCAAAUAAAAUAUCAGUGUUGUAUACAAAGUAAUUUUUUUUUCCAUUUUAUAGUCUGUGUUGCUUGGAAACAAUCCGUUUUGAAAUGGUGACAGUGGUUCAUCCUCUUUCCCAUACUUCCUUAAAUAAAUUUCAGAGGGCAAGAAUUCUGAAAUUUCUGGAUCUACCUCCAAUUCAACAGUCUUCUUUUUGGUACUGUGUUAAAAAGAACGAAUUGCAACAAAUAAAACAUCAAACAAGAAUGACCAUAUGAUACUAAAAAAGAGGCAGGCAGCUAACCACUGAAGUCCUCUAUCUGUGAGGCACCAGUCAUGGAGGAGACAGCACUCACUCUGACAGUCGCUGAAGACUGACCCUCGUAGGACUUGGAGGGGCAGGAGGAGGUGCAGGUCCCAUCAAGGUCCCUCUGACUAAUUUCCACUGGCCCUUGCUCCUGAGAAAAAGGCACGAAGAGAGGGACGCU